rnacentral:lncRNA from 1 species
CGAGGCAGAGGUAAUGCUGCUGCUCACAGGAAGGGAUUUCAAAGACUGUGUCGCUGUAGCACUGUCUCUUUUUUUGUUGAAGGUGUCAAUUCAGCUCAGUCUUCCCUGACAGUAAUCUCAUCCACAGCAGCGUGUGCCAGUAAUAUCCUCUGUUGUUUCCUUCCAGCUCACAGACUCUGUCCUGCCUCCUCCAGUGGUGACCUCACCUUGUCCCUGCAGUAUUUUGUUAUUCUGCAGGGAAACUGCAGCACUGUGAGGGAACUGUGUGGAGAGCCACCAGCUUUUGGAAAACUGCAGCUAGUGAGAAAUGCCAUCAGCCCCUGCCUGAUACUUAAAGCACAAAACCCAGCAGGGAGAGAGGUAAUGGAAUUUGGAGGCAACUGGUGUUCAAAGACCUCUCUUGAAAUGGGUCUAUGCUAAUGACGAGGGUCUGUGCAAAUCGGGUCGGUGUCCUCCGAAAGGAGCAGCUCCAUCAGGACAGCCAACGUGGGGCAGGAUUGUCCCCCUGAGGAUUUCACAGGGCUGCACCUUUGAGCCAAAACCUCAAAGAGUUUCUGGCUCUGACUGACCCGGCCAGAGCAGGACACAUUUCACCCACCGAGAGUCACCAGGCGCGUGUGUGGUCUGGGAGCUGGGCACGGGGAGGGCACGUUCACCCCGAUGUAAACGAGUUUAAUUGCUGCCUCCUGGCUUUGGAGAGAAGGAAUCUGUGCUGAAAGGCUCAGAGCCUUUUCCUUGAACUUUUCUUUCUCCAGACUGAGCUGAUGGGAGUCCUUGAUGCAAUUACGUUGGUGAAUUAUUGCUGAGAUGCAGGAUUGAGCUUGGUGCCCAACCUCAUCACAAUCCCCUUUUUGUCUCCUCUCUGGACCUUCAUGAAAUACUAAAACUUGCAUUGCCUGUUUGCACAUGGAAUUUGUCAUGCAAAAUAUUUCCCCACAAAGCUUAAAAACUUAAAGGGCUCACCAUAAAUGAAAAAAACCAGUCUUGCAGAAGGAGCGACUCUCUUUUUUUCUGAGGCAAAGAAAAUGUUUUUCAGAAGCAGAGCUUUAAAAGACACGGCACUGGGAGUGGUAAAAUAUGAGCUGUAAUUCAAGCCCACGAGUCUCUCUGCUGAAAAUGUGGGUGCAGGCAUGGUACUGGAGCACAUUUCUUAAAAAAUAGACAUCACUAAGCAAAAUUGCCAUAACCAACUGUUUGCUGGCUUGGAGAAGAGGCUGUUGUGUAUCCCUGCAGGGAACUGGUGCUUGGUUACACGGGCUAAGAAAGCACCAAUCCAUUAAAGGAACCUGGAGGUGCAGCUCAGCACCUACAGCUGCAGGCCCUGUUGGGAUAAAUUGAGGCAUUAAAUGCAUCAUAUUCACAGUAAGCAAUAAAUGCAGGUAAUUAUGGAAAUGAGAGGCCA